rnacentral:rRNA from 2 species
ACGGGAGGCAGCAGUAGGGAAUCUUCCACAAUGGGCGAAAGCCUGAUGGAGCAAUGCCGCGUGAGUGAAGAAGGUUUUCGGAUCGUAAAACUCUGUUGUUGAAGAAGAACAUGCGUGAGAGUAACUGUUCACGUACUGACGGUAUUCAACCAGAAAGCCACGGCUAACUACGUGCCAGCAGCCGCGGUAAUACGUAGGUGGCAAGCGUUGUCCGGAUUUAUUGGGCGUAAAGAGAAUGUAGGCGGUUUAUUAAGUUUGAAGUGAAAGCCCUCGGCUCAACCGAGGAAGUGCUUCGAAAACUGGUAAACUUGAGUGCAGAAGAGGAAAGUGGAACUCCAUGUGUAGCGGUGGAAUGCGUAGAUAUAUGGAAGAACACCAGUGGCGAAGGCGGCUUUCUGGUCUGUAACUGACGCUGAGAUUCGAAAGCAUGGGUAGCAAACAGGAUUAGAUACCCUGGUAGUCCAUGCCGUAAACGAUGAGUGCUAAGUGUUGGAGGGUUUCCGCCCUUCAGUGCUGCAGCUAACGCAUUAAGCACUCCGCCUGGGGAGUACGACCGCAAGGUUGAAACUCAAAGGAAUUGACGGGGGCCCGCACAAGCGGUGGAGCAUGUGGUUUNNUUCGAAGCAACGCGAANAANCUUACCAGGUCUUGACAUACCAUGAAAAGCUAANAGAUUAGUCUUUCCC